CCUUUUUUCAGUGCAACACAGGAAAGCGCCCUCUUUUUGUCAUCCCUGCAGCUUCCCAGAGGCUUUUUUGUAUUGAACGCAUGGCGUAGCUAGGACCCCUCCAAUCAUGUUUGAGCCUAUGUUCAAACCAAAACAACCCCGAGGCCCCCAAAGGGGAAUUCGACGAAUGCCUGCCGACGUUCAGAUAAGGGAAUGCUUCCCAAACCACUAAAGGAAAGGCUCGACGAAGGGAGGGAGAUGCGGCGGGGUAAGGAAAACGCUUUCGGAGAUCGAGG
rnacentral:lncRNA from 1 species